rnacentral:rRNA from 1 species
AGAGUUUGAUCCUGGCUCAGGAUAAACGCUGGCGGCGUGCCUAAUACAUGCAAGUCGAUCGAUGGAUGCCCAGCUUGCUGGGAGGAAAUAGAGGCGAACGGGUGAGUAAUACGUAAGCAACCUGCCCACGAAGACCGGGAUAAUCCCUGGAAACGGGGACUAAGACCGGAUAGGUAACAGAACCGCAUGAUUUUGUUAUUAAAGGUUAAAAACACUGGUGGAUGGCCUUACGGUGCAUUAGCUUGUUGGUGAGGUAAUGGCCCACCAAGGCGACGAUCGGUAGCCGGACUGAGAGGUUGAACGGCCACAUUGGGACUGAGACACGGCCCAGACUCCUACGGGAGGCAGCAGUGGGGAAUAUUGCACAAUGGGGGAAACCCUGAUGCAGCGACGCCGCGUGGAGGAAGAAGGUCUUCGGAUUGUAAACUCCUGUUGUUGGGGAAGAUAAUGACGGUACCCAACAAGGAAGUGACGGCUAACUACGUGCCAGCAGCCGCGGUAAAACGUAGGUCACAAGCGUUGUCCGGAAUUACUGGGUGUAAAGGGAGCGCAGGCGGGAAGACGAGUUGGAAGUGAAAUCCAUGGGCUCAACCCAUGAACUGCUUUCAAAACUGUUUUUCUUGAGUAGUGCAGAGGUAGGCGGAAUUCCCGGUGUAGCGGUGGAAUGCGUAGAUAUCGGGAGGAACACCAGUGGCGAAGGCGGCCUACUGGGCACCAACUGACGCUGAGGCUCGAAAGUGUGGGUAGCAAACAGGAUUAGAUACCCUGGUAGUCCACACCGUAAACGAUGAUUAUUAGGUGUUGGAGGAUUGACCCCUUCAGUGCCGCAGUUAACACAAUAAGUAAUCCACCUGGGGAGUACGACCGCAAGGUUGAAACUCAAAGGAAUUGACGGGGGCCCGCACAAGCAGUGGAGUAUGUGGCUUAAUUCGACGCAACGCGAAGAACCUUACCAAGUCUUGACAUCCUGCGACGAUGCUGGAAACAGUAUUUUCCUUCGGGACGCAGAGACAGGUGGUGCAUGGUUGUCGUCAGCUCGUGUCGUGAGAUGUUGGGUUAAGUCCCGCAACGAGCGCAACCCUUACUGUCAGUUACUACGCAAGAGGACUCUGGCAGGACUGCCGUUGACAAAACGGAGGAAGGUGGGGAUGACGUCAAAUCAUCAUGCCCUUUAUGACUUGGGCUACACACGUACUACAAUGGCGUUAAACAAAGAGAAGCAAGACCGCGAGGUGGAGCAAAACUCAGAAACAACGUCCCAGUUCGGACUGCAGUCUGCAACUCGACUGCACGAAGCUGGAAUCGCUAGUAAUCGCGGAUCAGAAUGCCGCGGUGAAUACGUUCCCGGGUCUUGCACACACCGCCCGUCA